rnacentral:lncRNA from 1 species
AACCCUAAAUAUAAAUAGUGAUUUUUUUUUUGUAGCGAGGGAUUAUCAAUUUUUUUCUCCAAUUUCAUUUUUUUAUGUUUUAGUUUGGUUUUCAAAUUAUUAAUUAAGACUCACAAGUUCAUCUAUUUGAGGUUUAUAAUUAUUUCUAACAAUUAGUUUACAAAUUUUCAACUAAUAAUUAAUUAAUAGGAUUGAUUAAUCCAUAAUUAGAGUAAAUAUUUUUUUUAACUUUUAAUUUUUUAAUUUGC